UCUUCAGGUUACAAGAGUUGC
rnacentral:siRNA from 1 species